UGCCAGUGUGACGUAUAAUCUAAUGGACGGGACGCUCCUUCAACAACAACAGCUAGUCAGACACCUCGGUAGCAUUCGAGCAAACAUAGCUACAACAUUCACGCUCUUUACAAUGUUUUGGUGUAUAUUAGUCGCUGUGUAUUAAACACACUUCUGUCGUAUGUACUUUUUGGCCCAUUUAAUUAUAUAUGUACGUUGUUUGUCAGCUAGCUGGUUUGCUAAGUUAGCUUAGAACUAGGCUAGUCGCUAAUGCUAGCUAGCUAACAUCCCCGACCAUGAGUUCACUAAGCUACUCUCCUUCUGAUAAAGAAGUGGUCUGCUGGACGGAGAAUGAAACUCUCGUGAAAAAGGAGGAGGAAGAGAGGGAUGUUACAAUACAAAAACAAGUAGAGGGUGAGGCUGUUACAGUGAAAGAAGAAGAGAAAGACGUUACAGUGAAAGAAGAGGAAGACGCGUUCAGAGUGAAAGAGGAAGAUGUUACAGUAAAAUAAUAGGAGGAAGAGAAAGAGGAGGAGGGGAAGAUGACUGUCACAUUGGAAGAGGAGGUUGGAGAUCUUUUUAACACCAGAGAGAGACGGGACUACCGUCAACAACAUCAUGAUGCAGAGAAACACCUCAAGAAACACCCGGAGAGAUCCACAGGAGAGAAAUCUAACCACUGUUUUUACUGUGGGAAGAGUUACUCAUGUUCAGAUUCACUAAAAGUACACAAGUGAAUUCAAACAGGAGAGAAACCUUAUAGCUGUGAUCAAUGUGGGAAGAGGUUUACUCAGUCAGGCUGUCUGAUAGUGCACCAGAGAACACACACAGGAGAGAAGUCUAACCACUGUUUUAGCUGUGGGAAAAGAUUCUCAAGAUCAGAUUCACUAAAAGUACACCAAAGAAUUCACACAGGAGAGAAAUCUUUCUGCUGCUCUUACUGUGGGAAACAUUACUCAAGAUUAAAUUCACUACAAGGACACCUGAGAAUUCACACGGGAGAGAAAUCUUAUAGCUGUGAUCAAUGUGAGAAGAGUUUUGCUCAGUCAGGCAUCCUGAAAUCACACCAGAGAACACACACUGGAGAGAAACCUUAUGGCUGUGAUCAAUGUGGGAAGAGGUUUGUUGCAUCUAACUAUCUGACGACACAUCAGAGAACACACACAGAGAAAUCUUACGGCUGUAAUCAAUGUGGGAAGAGUUUUACUCAGCCAAACAUUCUGAUAGUACAUCUGAGAACACACACAGGAGAGAAAUCUCAUAGCUGUGAUCAAUGUGGGAAGAGAUACUCUGAUAAAAGAUCUCUGCUCAAACAUCAGAAAAUACAUGAAGGAGUUGUUUCAUGAUAUCAAUAAAAUGAUGUCACAAUGUAGAAUGUGUUAACAUUGUAGUAGGAGUAUUUUAAUGAUGUCACAAUGUAUAAUGUUUUAACAUUGUAGUAGGAGUAUUUUAAUGAUGUUAUAAUGUAGAAGCCUAAACGUUUGUCCCCUGUUCUAUUGAUUUCAACAUGAUAUGGAUAUUAGCCUCAGAGGGAAAAUCCAGGCUCUGAAUUGAAUGAGUACUAUUUAUGUGAUUUAACAAAAAGUGACGAACAAAAAGAGUUGGGUUAUACUUACCACGUUGGUGACCCACUUGAAUCAAAAUGCAGCACUUAAAUGUAGCGAGCUGUUUUCUAGAAAUUGUCCUCUAACCAGUGAUGUACACAUUAUUCCCAGAUUCUGUGUGGUUUUUGAGCUGUUAAUUUGAACAGAAUUUCCCCCCUCUCUCGCUCAAUAUGAGUGAUGACAAAUAAGUGUUGCGUUUCUCUUAGUGUUGGGGACCCAUAAACUCAAAAUGUAGCUGACUGUCUUCUCCAGGUUGUCCUCUAACCAGUGAGGUAAAAGAUAUCUCCCAUUCCCAUGUUUUUUUGUUGUUGUGUUAGUUUCAACAGCACGUACAAUCUGAUUUCCCCGCUAAUCGAUAUCAGUGAUUUAAUUUCAAUGUACUUGCAGCCUAUACACAUGGACACAGUAUAAUAAAUUUGUCUAUAAUCAAUUUUAUUAACAA